rnacentral:tRNA from 1 species
AAUUUUUAUAGAUAGAAACCAAUCUGACUCACGUCGAUUUGAACUCAAAUCAUGUAAGAUUU